GAACAUUUGUGUUAUUUGUUAUUUUUCAUUCUUGUCUCAUUGUUUCCAAAGUGCUGACACCAGAAAAGAAAACUCUAAUUUAAGUCCUGCCUGCCAGUCCAGACCUUUAUGAGGAGAUUUUAUCCAGAGUGCAGCACGGGGCAAAGUGACAGAUGCCACUCACCUCUUGGACCUGCAACACCAGCUGACAGAAAUGUGCUGUGCUUGACAUUGCAGGUUGCACUUAUUGUGUUAAAAACUAAAUUAUGCCAACGCGAAUUUAACGAGGUCGACGUAAAACUGGGAGUG